rnacentral:piRNA from 1 species
UAAGAGUAAUUUCUGGCCAGCAAAGG